CAUCACAGCUUUUUUUCUUUCAAUUUUUAUUGAACACAAGUAUUCUGACAGAAUGCAAAGUCAAAAUUCUCAGUUAGUACUCAGUAUUUACACCAGUGAGAAUGAAAACAAAGGUGGUGUCGAUGUUUCACUUGGUAAAAAGUUUUAUAACAAGAGAGAAGGCCCCCAAAGUACAGAAUGCUGGGUAGGGAUGUUAAUGGAGGUUGAGAACCACCAUCCAGACAGACAGCCUAGAGUGAAAACCUGGGACUAGGAAGGCUCCGUAGAAAAGUGUGAAAAUAGAGUUCCACUUCAGAAGCUGCUCUAUGUACAUGACGGCCCUUCAGGACUGGCAGACCCCACUGACGGCACCCGUGUGCCCCUCCAGCAGACUGUGGCCUUGCCGGGUUUAAUGUGAAUACAUAUGUAUGGCACAUACACAUAUACACACAUAGACACUGGAAACCGGUGGAGUUGACCCCUCUUUCAAAAAAUUAAAAAAGGAAAAUUAUAAGCUUAUGUUAUCUCUUAACAUAAAAGAACAUUUUGAAAAUAAAGCGACUCCCUCUUUGAUUUUAGAGAAAGCAUUGCUCUUUUAAGAAGGAAAGAAAGAAAGGGAAACUCAUGCAUGCUGAGACAAACCUAUGUGUAGUAGCAGGAGAGAGGCAGCCCAAGGGCGGGCAGAGUUUUGGGUUCCAGCUAAUGGCGGGGCCAGGGUUCUGGGGGGUCAGCUGCCCUGGGCCAGCUUAUCUGAGGGUUGACUAUAUCUCUGUCUCUCCCUAACCAUUAGAACCAGAAUCAGUUUUCUUAACCACAACUACUUGGAGUGAAAUGCACGGUCUCCACGAGGUACGGCAGGGCUUGGUCUAGUUGGUCGAAGCCAUUACCAUUUCCUUAAGAGGAACCCAUUCCACUGAACAGCCCGGUGACCGGGAAAGCCUGCCCCUCCCUGCAGGGUCCUGCCCAUCUCAGGCACCCAGCCUCUCCCAUUCUGCUGCGAGUUCUAAGAUCUGUCCUUCCCAUCGCUUUUCCCUGAGGGCCCGUGCAUUUGAAACACAGAUUUGUGCAGGCCCUAGAAUUAAAGGGGCCAGGGCUGUGCAUUCUGGGAUCCUCCAUUUCUAUCCCCAGGAGCUGAGAAAAUGCAAAAUAACCCCACAUUUAGCAAAUGACAAGACCAAUUAUUUUUCACAGUUUGAAAUGAUAAUCUAACAUUGCCACUGAUCAGACUGCAGAAGUGUCAGAGUAUUGGGGAGUGUGGCUCACAGAAUGUACUCAGGGUGGUCUUGCCAGCCUAACCUCUCCCUGCUUUGUACCUUAGGAAAGGAACACAUGCCAGAGAACUGAUUUCUGUUUACUUAGAGUUGUCUUCAUCAUCAUAAUCUUCUGUAUUUCAUUUUCUUUGUUUAAAGGCUUCAAUUCCUUUUAAGAGUUAUUUUUGUUUCCUGAAUAUUUUUCUGAACUAUCUGCUAUACCUUCCACAACCAAACUAUGUUGAAGUUUAUUUCAAUACUAUGACAAAAACACGUUUCACACUAAAAUAUUCACGCAUCCACAGUGCACAAGCUUGCAGUUCUAAAGUAGGAUGAGAAAAAAAAGCAAAAUUUCUAUACAAAGGGCUGGCUUUUCCCUCCUCCCCCCCCUCCCAUCCCCCUUAAAGUUUCUGUAUUUUUUUCCCCCACUUGGUUUCCAAUCCAGGAAAGUUGUGUUAUGACUCCAGACAGUAGGUUUUUUUCUCUUUUCUUUUGUUUCUACAAAUGCUGCCUAAGUGAACAGAAGGCCGAUGUUACUUUACUUCAACAGAUUUCCAAAAAAAGACACUAAUUCCCUGAAGCGCACAUGCUCUUCCGCUCAAAUCUAGAUUCUGGGCUCAAAAGGAAAUGGUAUGUAUAUAUUUUAUUUGGCUUUCUACAAAAAGGGGAUGUUUGGGGUAAAAAUGUGUGUUCACCAAGACCAGCCCCAACUAUACAAUCUUCUCUGCUUCAUUCAACAAAGCCUAAGGAGUCCUUCAGAAGGAAGGCGGGGGACGUCUGGGGAGCAGAUCCUUUUUCACAGAUGCAGGCAGGUGGCGGCUAAUCAGAAAGUGGUCUAACCCCCAAAGAAACGCAAAAAAGAACGGAAAACUGAAAAACAAAACCAUUCCAGAACAAGGUGAAUCUUCAUCUGAAUUGGACACAGGCAAAAACUGCAGAUCGGAAUGGGGGAAGAGCCACUGUAAACAAUCAUAUUGGGUGAAGUCGUCCUGUGCUCAAGCAAGCCUGUGACGAUCCUCCCUACCUAGGCGGUAUUUGUUACUUAAAGAAAAAAGGCAGCUAUUUUACAUGGACAUUUAACCACAACUGAAGUCAAACCUUUGUCAACUUGUAAACACUAGAAAACAAAGUUGGCAGAAAGGAAAAAAAAAAAAAAAAGGAUGAAAAAGAAGGCCGAAUACUGCAAAUUGAGAUCUACUCCCAGAAGCUGCAAUUUGGCAUUCUUCCUACAAAACAAGAGUCUACGUGGGAAUUGAAUUCAGCUAGAAAGGGUGACACACUUUGCAUACUGAACCAAUACAAAGUGAACAGAAAUUAUAACUUAUUUAUGAGGUUUUACAGAGUUCAAACUCGACUGAAAGUAUAAAAAUAAACUGUGGACUUUGUUCAUUCGGUGAGUCUUAGUGCCUGAAAGCAUUUCUCUGAAACUGGUCUGUGCCAAUCGGGUAACCCAAGUGUGGUUUGCCUGAACCUAGAUUUCUUUUUUCUGAGCUUCCUAGAUUCUUAAUUUGGGGUCCUUUUGUUUGAUUUUUAAAUGGUUUCAGGGAACGGAGUGUCCUAGUUUGGCUGUGGGUUUAACCUUUUUGUCUUAUUUUCUUACAAGGAACUGUGCAACAAAGGGACCCUUUCUAUACAUCUACAAAAAGGAGCUC